rnacentral:rRNA from 1 species
GACGAACGCUGGCGGCGUGCUUAACACAUGCAAGUCGAGCGGAAAGGCCCUUCGGGGUACUCGAGCGGCGAACGGGUGAGUAACACGUGAGUAACCUGCCCCAGACUUUGGGAUAACCCUCGGAAACGGGGGCUAAUACCGGAUACGACACAGCUUCGCAUGGGGUCUGUGUGGAAAGUUUUUCGGUUUGGGAUGGGCUCGCGGCCUAUCAGCUUGUUGGUGGGGUGAUGGCCUACCAAGGCGACGACGGGUAGCCGGCCUGAGAGGGCGACCGGCCACACUGGGACUGAGACACGGCCCAGACUCCUACGGGAGGCAGCAGUGGGGAAUAUUGCACGAUGGGCGGAAGCCUGAUGCAGCGACGCCGCGUGAGGGAUGACGGCCUUCGGGUUGUAAACCUCUUUCAGCAGGGACGAAGCGUAAGUGACGGUACCUGCAGAAGAAGCGCCGGCCAACUACGUG